rnacentral:rRNA from 1 species
UACAGAGGUCCCAAGCGUUUGUUCGGAUUCAUUGGGCGUAAAGGGUGCGUAGGUGGCGUCGUAAGUCGGGUGUGAAAUCUCGGGGCUUAACUCCGAAACUGCAUUCGAUACUGCGGUGCUUGAGGACUGGAGAGGAGACUGGAAUUUACGGUGUAGCAGUGAAAUGCGUAGAGAUCGUAAGGAAGACCAGUGGCGAAGGCGGGUCUCGUGGACAGUUCCUGACACUGAGGCACGAAGGCCAGGGGAGCAAACGGG